rnacentral:rRNA from 1 species
UACGUAGGGGGCAAGCGUUGUCCGGAAUUAUUGGGCGUAAAGAGCUCGUAGGCGGUCCGUCACGUCGGAUGUGAAAUUCCAGGGCUCAACCCUGGACCUGCAUUCGAUACGGGCGGACUAGAGUUCGGUAGGGGAGACUGGAAUUCCUGGUGUAGCGGUGAAAUGCGCAGAUAUCAGGAGGAACACCGGUGGCGAAGGCGGAUCUCUGGGCCUUACCUGACGCUCGAGGCGCGAAAGCUAGGGGAGCGAACAGG